rnacentral:rRNA from 1 species
UACGUAGGGUGCGAGCGUUGUCCGGAAUUAUUGGGCGUAAAGAGCUUGUAGGCGGUUUGUCGCGUCUGCUGUGAAAAUCCGGGGCUCAACCCCGGACUUGCAGUGGGUACGGGCAGACUAGAGUGUGGUAGGGGAGACUGGAAUUCCUGGUGUAGCGGUGAAAUGCGCAGAUAUCAGGAGGAACACCGGCGGCGAAGGCGGGUCUCUGGGCCAUAACUGACGCUGAGGAGCGAAAGCGUGGGGAGCGAACAGG